GAUGAAGAACGUAGCGAAAUGCGAUACUUGGUGUGAAUUGCAGAAUCCCGUGAACCAUCGAGUCUUUGAACGCAAGUUGCGCCCGAAGCCAUUAGGCCGAGGGCGCGCCUGCCUGGGCGUCACACGUCGUUGCCCCCCCCAUCUACUCCUUCGGGAUUGCGGGGGGCGGAUGAUGGCCUCCCGUGCGCCUCGCCGCGCGGUUGGCAUAAAUGCCAAGUCCUCGGCGACGCACGCCACGACAAUCGGUGGUUGCGAAACCUCGGUUGCCCGUCGUGUGCGGUCGUCGCGCAUCGAGGGCUCGAAAAAAUUGCCGAGUUCCGGCUCGGCUUUCAACGCGACCCCAGGUCAGGCGGGGUUACCCGCUGAAUUUAAGCAUAUCAAUAAGCGGAGGA
rnacentral:misc_RNA from 1 species